AAGGAAACGUCAGUUGCUGGAGCCACGGAGCAGGAAAGAAGAAUAAAGCUAAAAUGGAGGGAAGGGAAGGGAAGAGAGACCAGCCUGAAGCAACGAGCCUGAGUCUCCUGAUCUGUUCAUCCCAUGCCCUAUCCCAGCUACUGAAUGUGUGUAUGUGGCAAAAGGAGGAAGAAAAUUGUUCUGGGACUAAAAUAGCAGCAUUUGACUUAAGCAUGCAGUUAUGGCUGUAUGAUAGCUGCAGAGAAAAGCAAUAAAAAUGAGCAACAUUUUCUUUUCUGGGCUUCACUGCCAUAUGUAUGACCAGUCUUCUCAGUGUGCAUUAAAUAAAUUAAAAUCUGUUUUUCUAAGUCAUACUUUGAAUUGAA